GCGGGGGUGGCAGAGCCUGGCCAAAUGCGUAGGACUGAGGCUCCUAUGGUAUAGCACCUGCAAGGGUUCAAAUCCCUUCCCCCGCA
rnacentral:tRNA from 4 species